rnacentral:rRNA from 1 species
GGGCUUCACACGUCAUACAAUGGUACAUACAGAGGGCCGCCAACCCGCGAGGGGGAGCUAAUCCCAGAAAGUGUAUCGUAGUCCGGAUUGGAGUCUGCAACUCGACUCCAUGAAGUUGGAAUCGCUAGUAAUCGCGGAUCAGCAUGUCGCGGUGAAUA